GACAUAGGAUGCAAGCGUUAUCCGGAAUGAUUGGGCGUAAAGCGUCUGUGGGUGGCUUUUCAAGUCCGCCGUCAAAUCCCAGGGCUCAACCCUGGACAGGCGGUGGAAACUACCAAGCUGGAGUACGGUAGGGGCAGAGGGAAUUUCCGGUGGAGCGGUGAAAUGCAUUGAGAUCGGAAAGAACACCAACGGCGAGAGCACUCUGCUGGGCCGACACUGACACUGAGGCGCGAAAGCUAGGGGAGCAAACGGG
rnacentral:rRNA from 1 species